rnacentral:tRNA from 1 species
GGCCGGUUGGCCCAAUGGCAAGGCGUCUGACUACGACCGAGCGCUACGGCGAUUUGGCAUGUUAUCAGGAGAUUCUGGGUUCGACCCCCAGGCUGGUCA